CUCAGUAAAUAGAGGUUCCCGUUGCCUGUUGCCCUGAGCUGGUUCCUUGGGCAGGCUGCACAAGCUGCUGGAGCUCAGCCAUUCCACCCUCCUGGGCCAGGAGCAGAAGAUGACUCAGAAAAGCCCAGCUUGGUUAUGGAGGGCUGACACAACAUCAGGAAGCGGAGUCACGGCUCGCUGCCUGGAUGGAAUUCUUUGAAGAUAUUGCUGCUCAGGAAAUGUGAGGGACAAACUAUAAAGACACAACCUGAAGCUUGCCAAAGUGCAUCUGAAAAUGUUUGAUCUGUGUGUCAAGCCUCUGCCCUUUGUAAAUGGCUCUUUUAAAGCUAUAUGUGUAACCCUGCAUUUGCAGAGUACAGCCAGUUUGUGAGCAUCGCUGAUGAAAUCUCACAAUUACUUAAAUAGUGUGCCAAGAGCAAGUUUUUCAGAUUAAUAGUGACAAAUACUACCAGGAAAUUUGGCCUGAUAGCAGAGUAUGAAAUUGCAACAGUAAAUAGUCAUUUGAAAACUUCACACAGUAGAAAUAAUUUAAAUUCUUUCUCAUAUUUACAUCAACAAUAAAGGAAUUCAAGGACAAGAAUGAGAGAUAAAAAUGCUAUUUGGAAGAAUGGAUGGCCCAUUGCACGUCUGAGUAAACAGAUCAGCUUCAGGCUGUUUUCAGGAAGAACUGGAACUGGAGAAGCUGUAACUUUCCUCCUCCAUGGAGUCUGACAGCAACUGCUGGAUGGGGCUUCACAUUCUGCAAAUGCCAAGGGGGUCAGGCCCCAGGGGCAACACCAGCCAUGUGUGCUGUCCUUGUUGCAGUCAUGCAGACCUGAAUGAUUUUACCUGGGAGCUUGAGGUGAUUCUUCUUCGUAUCAUGUUCCACCCUUACUGAGACUGAACGCUGAAGGACAAUGCGUUGGGUCCAGGAGGAGGAGGCAACAUCCCACCUCUGCUUCCCAGGAGACUUGGUUGUAAUUUCUCAUCUUCAUACAUCUAGAGAAUCUGGACCAAGUUUCAGUGCCUGGUGCACAGUAGGUCCUUUGCUGUUUACCAGGAAAAGAGGAAAUGUGACCCCCAGUAGCCCUUUGUGCCAAUUCUGGCAUCUUUGUGAAUAUGGUAUUUGCUGUUAAGAUUGUGCAGUUCUAGUCAGGUGGUAAAUUUGGGGAACAGCAGUGUGCAGAAUAGCCUGUGGCCUUCAGAUGUCAUUGUGUGUGUGUUAGAA